AUGACCAAUGAAUCCCAUUUUAACAGAGUUACCCUGAACGCAGCAUGAGACCGCUUUCGGUUUGUUACGUCUCACACUUGGAUGAAUUUCUCCUCAUUCACUUUGCUAAACCAUGUCAAACUGUGUCACAUGGGUCUCAAUAUAUUGAUAAUGUAGGCAUAACAUUGCUGUGAGUUUUCAUCAUGCGGAUUAUUCAUAGCUUUGCAGCAGACUUCUUCAACUCGCCAUGACAAACGAAGCUGCAUUUAACACAGCUGCAAGUGAACGCCUCAUGAGACUCUGAAAGAAGUUACGUCGUCACAAGCUGCGGAGCUGUGUAUCACGAAGAACCGGAGAACGGUUGGCGAGUCUGGAUGAGAGGACGGCGGCGGAGUCACUGUGGACGUUGUUCGCUCAGCAGGUUAGAGUGUGGGACUCAAAGGUUUUUGUCCCCUCUCCCGUUGUGUCUUUUCCUGUGUGAACUCUGCCGCUCUCAACAGCAGCACUGGCUAUGAGCUAGCUCCUGCUAGCUACAACGAAUCAUCUCUCAACUGCUACAAGGUCCAACUUGACACACAACUUGAAUCCAACCAGACUGAACACUGACUCCAGGGACAGACGAGCCUGAAGGACACAGCUGUGAUGACCAUGUUCUGUCUCUUAUGGCAAAGCAGAAAUAUAAAACACUGGGUUCUUAUCUAAAGUGUAUCAAAUCAGAUCUCCACCAUGUUGCUGCUGAGGACAUCAG